rnacentral:rRNA from 1 species
AUACCAGCGGCAGACGGGUGAGUAACACGUGGGAAUCUACCUUUUGCUACGGAACAACUCUGGGAAACUGGAGCUAAUACCGUAUGUGCCCUUUGGGGGAAAGAUUUAUCGGCAAGAGAUGAGCCCGCGUCGGAUUAGCUAGUUGGUGGGGUAAAGGCCUACCAAGGCGACGAUCCGUAGCUGGUCUGAGAGGAUGAUCAGCCACACUGGGACUGAGACACGGCCCAGACUCCUACGGGAGGCAGCAGUGGGGAAUAUUGGACAAUGGGGGCAACCCUGAUCCAGCCAUGCCGCGUGAGUGAUGAAGGCCCUAGGGUUGUAAAGCUCUUUCACCGGUGAAGAUAAUGACGGUAACCGGAGAAGAAGCCCCGGCUAACUUCGUGCCAGCAGCCGCGGUAAU